GCUGGGCGCGGUGGCUCACGCCUGUAAUCCUAGCACUUUGGGAGGCUGAGGCGGGCGGAUCACCUGAGGUCAGGAGUUCGAGACCAGCCUGGCCAACAUGGUGAUACCCCAUCUCUA
rnacentral:SRP_RNA from 1 species